rnacentral:rRNA from 1 species
CCUACGGGGGGCAGCAGUGGGGAAUAUUGGACAAUGGGGGGAACCCUGAUCCAGCGACGCCGCGUGAGUGAAGAAGUAUUUCGGUAUGUAAAGCUCUAUCGGCAGGGAAGAAAGAAAUGACGGUACCUGACUAAGAAGCCCCGGCUAACUACGUGCCAGCAGCCGCGGUAAUACGGAGGGGGCAAGCGUUAUCCGGAUUUACUGGGUGUAAAGGGAGCGUAGACGGCGAUGCAAGUCUGAAGUGAAAGGCGGGGGCCCAACCCCCGGACUGCUUUGGAAACUGUAUGGCUGGAGUGCAGGAGAGGUAAGUGGAAUGCCUGGUGUAGCGGUGAAAUGCGUAGAUAUUAGACAGAACACCAGUGGCGAAGGCAGCUUACUGGACUGUAACUGACGUUGAGGCUCGAAAGCGUGGGGAGCAAACAGGAUUAGAUACCCGUGUAGUC